UCUCACUUUGACCUUGUCUCUGCUACAGCACAUUGGACUGCUUUUAUUCACAUGAACUAUGUAGAACUGGUGGAGGACAAGAAAAAUAAACAUUUAAAACAAGUUUUAAAAGAAAUAAUUUGAGGUCACAGUUUCAUAUGGAGGCCAUCUUUUUCCCAUUUGAUUAGUGAUUUCUGGAAUCUUCUCACUGGACAUCUAAUCACAAUUGAGGUUUUUGGAAGGAGAUGUUGCCUGGCCUGCUGAGUUCCUCCUGCAUUUUGUGUGUUUUGGUUUGGAUUUCCAGCAUCUGCAGAUUUUCUCAUGUUUAUGCUGCCUUGCCAGGAGGUGGUGUAGUGGCAUAUGCACCGGACUUUGAGGGAAGUGGUCCUGGGUUCGAAUCCGAUCUGCGCCUUGCACCCUUUCCAUCUGUGCUGGGAUGAGCAUCCAGUUAGCAACUCGGCCUCAUAAAAAAAGACAAAAAUGCUAAAGGAAUGGCAAGGUUGCUGCCCGGUGCACCACAAGGCAUGGAAAGGAACAGCAACGGAUGCUGCGUGAGCUGCUGAGUUCCUUCAGCACUUUGUGAAUGUUACUCUGGACUUCCCGCAUCUGCACAAUCCACAAUGUUUAUUGUGGAUCAAUUCCAGACACUAACUAAAUUCAUCAUGUUACUUCUGGUUUGGUUGUCAGUUGUGUUCACUCUAUUUCCCUUUGUUCUUCACCACUCCACCAAAGUGAACAGUGUCUCCCUAUCUUCUCUGUGUUAUCCUCCUCUAUCUCUAUCAGAUCACAUUCUCUAUUCCAAGGAGAACAACCCCGGUUUCUCCAGUUUUUUACCACACAAUUAAAUGGAUCAUUUUAGAACAGUUUUUCUGCACCCUCUCUAAAUUCUUCUUCGUCUUACCAGAAGUGUGGUAGCCAGAAAUGGGGACAAUAACUCUGUUGCAACUGAGCUAAUGCUUAAUAAAGAUUUAUCAUGACCUUUUUGCCUUCAUACCCUCUGCCACUCUGCUUGAGGGUAAGAGGAGGAGUUUGGCAUUGAAAUGUUUCCAGAGCAAGAAGCUUGUGUUGUGCCAGCUUUAAAUUGGCACUGGUUUAGAAGGGAUUCCUGGAAAACAGCAUCAACAGAGCAUUGCCUAGCAAUAACAUGACAAAACCUGUUAUAUUGAUGGUGUAUUCAUGCAGAGUUUUUAUUUUCUGGUGAGACAUUUUUAAAAGAAUCUGAUUUAGUGGUUUAAACAGUGGGCGCCAGUCUCCUGGACUCGGAACAAAAUCGUGUCAUUAUAAAUGCUAACCUGGAUUUGCAACAUUUUGAUUUAUUUUUACAUCUGUGUUCCUGUACUUUAUCUCAAGAGUUAUAAAAGUACUUACUCUUCAUCUCGCCUACUUGCUCUGUAGCCUUUGUUCUUACCUCUCGCAUUUAAAAUUGCCUCUGACAAUUUGUUCAUUUCUUUGCUGGCAGCCAAUAAAAGUCAU